CGGACGGGUGAGUAACGCGUAGGAAUCUACCCAGUAGUGGGGGACAACAUGGUGAAAACCAUGCUAAUACCGCAUACGCCCUAAGGGGGAAAGCGGGGGACCUUCGGGCCUCGCGCUAUAGGAUGAGCCUGCGUCGGAUUAGCUUGUUGGUGAGGUAAAGGCUCACCAAGGCGACGAUCCGUAGCUGGUCUGAGAGGAUGAUCAGCCACACUGGAACUGAGACACGGUCCAG
rnacentral:rRNA from 1 species